rnacentral:misc_RNA from 1 species
UUUUUGGCUGAUUGAGAUCCUCCAAUGCCGCUUGAUAAAUCAGUCUCUUAUCAUUCCCAGCAACACUUUCUUCACCAACCAUGGGACUAUAUGCAGGAUCACUCGAACCAAACUAAGCAGAGGAAGCGGGCUUUCCAUGCAUCAAGGAUGGAGGUAGUAUCCUACUUCUGUUAAUUUCAUACAUCACAAUAUCCUCAUAAUUUCCCUUUCGGUAAUGGGCCCUCAUAUUAUUGGUCAAACUUGGCCCUGCCAAAUGGUAUGCGCUUCCAUGGAUAUCACGGGUAUGACUACUACAACCAUUCUCCACUAAGUUUGCUGAUUUACUACUAAUUGGAGAUCGAUGAAGAGAAGCAGGGAGGGUCCUCUUCAGAGCUUGUCGAGAAUUAACAGUCUGAGGCUGACCCAUAUUCCCA